rnacentral:rRNA from 1 species
CCCUUAGAUGUUCUGGGCCGCACGCGCGCUACACUGAUGCAUUCAACGAGUCUAAAACCUGCUCUGAUAGGGGUGGGUAAUCUUUUGAAUGUGCAUCGUGAUUGGGAUAGAUGAUUGCAAUUUUUCAUCUUCAACGGGGAAUGCCUAGUAAACGCAAGUCAUCAGCUUGCAUUGAUUACGUCCCUGCCCUUUGUACACACCGCCCGUCGCUCCUACCGAUUGAAUGAUCCGAUGAAUAUCAUGGAUUGAGGAUGCAAGCAGGUUCGCCUGUCUUCAUCUUCGAGAAGUGAAGUAAAUCUUAUCAUUUAGAGGAAGGAGAAGUCGUAACA